rnacentral:misc_RNA from 1 species
CGCACAUUGCGCCCCUUGGUAUUCCGGGGGGCAUGCCUGUUCGAGCGUCAUUACACCACUCAAGCCUGGCUUGGUAUUGGGCGUCGCGGCCGCCGCGCGCCUCAAAGUCUCCGGCUAGGUCUUUCACCUCUAAGCGUUGUGACACAAUCCAUCCGCUUCGUGAGUGUGGGGGGCCCGCGCCGUUAAACGAUUUUAUCUAAGGUUGACCUCGGAUCAGGUAGGGAUACCCGCUGAACUUAA